AGAGUUUGAUCAUGGCUCAGGAUGAACGCUAGCGGCAGGCCUAACACAUGCAAGUCGAACGGUAAGGUCUCUUCGGAGAUACACGAGUGGCGCACGGGUGAGUAACGCGUAUGCAACCUACCCUUAACUGGGGGAUAGCCCGGAGAAAUUCGGAUUAAUACCCCAUAACAUUGUGAUACUGCAUGGUAUUACAAUUAAAACUCCGGUGGUUAAGGAUGGGCAUGCGUGACAUUAGCUAGUUGGUAAGGUAAAAGCUUACCAAGGCAACGAUGUCUAGGGGGCCUGAGAGGGUGAUCCCCCACACUGGUACUGAGACACGGACCAGACUCCUACGGGAGGCAGCAGUGAGGAAUAUUGCGCAAUGGACGAAAGUCUGACGCAGCCAUGCCGCGUGCAGGAUGACUGCCCUAUGGGUUGUAAACUGCUUUUUUACAGGAAGAACUCCCUCUACGUGUAGAGGACUGACGGUACUGUAUGAAUAAGCAUCGGCUAACUCCGUGCCAGCAGCCGCGGUAAUACGGAGGAUGCAAGCGUUAUCCGGAUUUAUUGGGUUUAAAGGGUGCGUAGGCGGGACGAUAAGUCAGUGGUGAAAUCUUGCAGCUUAACUGUAAUAUUGCCAUUGAUACUGUUGUUCUUGAGUGCGAUUGAAGUAGGCGGAAUGUGUAAUGUAGCGGUGAAAUGCUUAGAUAUUACACAGAACACCGAUUGCGUAGGCAGCUUACUAAGUCGUAACUGACGCUGAGGCACGAAAGCGUGGGGAUCGAACAGGAUUAGAUACCCUAGUAGUCC
rnacentral:rRNA from 1 species